rnacentral:lncRNA from 1 species
CUAAAUAAUAGUUAUUUCCUAAAACCUUAAAUGAGGGAGUAAGAUUCAUUAAGCCUGAUUUGAAUGCAUCCAGAGGUGGAAAGAAAUAUUUUGUUUGACAAAAUAGAAACCCAGAGGAAUUAUUAUCCACUGGAAUAGAAUUAUAAAACAAAUAGAAGUCCGUACACCUGGUAUGAACUCUGGGUUGUUUAAAACACGUUCUACAGAGUGAAUGUUGACUAUCGCAUGGAGUUGAAAGCAAAGGGGAGAAAGUCUGAGUCAUGUGGAAAAGUUUUGAACACACCAAUUACUUCUGAAAGGGAUACAAAGGAAACGGAGCAUCCUUGGCCCUGAGAAGAGCAGCAGGAUUGGUUUUCUAGGUAGGAUUUCAGAUGAAAAUACCCCCAUCAACUUUCCCUAUGUGGAUAAAAAUUAUAGCACUGUUGUCAAUUCACCUGGAAUACAGAAGUUCCCACAGUCAACUGUAGACAAGAAGGCUACCUUUGCUUUUAAGACCAUAAAGGAUUUCUGUCACAGAGUAAAAACUUGAAGAGUUCUAAGGAUGGACACAUGGAUGGUGAUUUCAUCAGAGAGAGAGAGAAAAGAAGACACUUGAAGCACUUUCCCAGAAUAAAACACAGUGGUUGCAGAGAAGAGGAGGAGCCAGGUGGGAUUCAGAGCUGCCAGACAACGCUCCUCUUUGAUGGCUACUAUCAGAGGAAAAUGGCAGCCAGAAAAAUCCAGCAGGACAUUUCUAGCCUUGCC